UUKCAUAUCAAUAAGCGGAGGAAAAGAAACCAACAGGGAUUGCCCUAGUAACGGCGAGUGAAGCGGCAACAGCUCAAAUUUGAAAUCUGGCGCAAGCCCGAGUUGUAAUUUGUAGAGGAUGCUUCUGGCCAGCGGCCGUUCUAAGUUCCUUGGAACAGGACGUCAUAGAGGGUGAGAAUCCCGUAUGUGACCGGCGCGCAGCCUUUACGUAGCUCCUUCGACGAGUCGAGUUGUUUGGGAAUGCAGCUCUAAAUGGGAGGUAAAUUUCUUCUAAAGCUAAAUACCGGCCAGAGACCGAUAGCGCACAAGUAGAGUGAUCGAAAGAUGAAAAGCACUUUGGAAAGAGAGUUAAAAAGCACGUGAAAUUGUUGAAAGGGAAGCGCUUGCAACCAGACUUCGUAGCGAUGUUCCGCCGGUCUUCUGACCGGUCUACUCAUCGUCGCGAGGCCAACAUCGUCUGGGGCCGCCGGAUAAGACCUAAGGAAUGUAGCUUCCCUCGGGAAGUGUUAUAGCCUUUGGUGAUGCGGCGCGUCUCGGGCGAGGUCCGCGCUUCGGCAAGGAU
rnacentral:rRNA from 1 species